rnacentral:rRNA from 1 species
CUGUGAGCUCGAUGAGUAGGGCGGGACACGUGGUAUCCUGUCUGAAUAUGGGGGGACCAUCCUCCAAGGCUAAAUACUCCUGACUGACCGAUAGUGAACCAGUACCGUGAGGGAAAGGCGAAAAGAACCCCGGCGAGGGGAGUGAAAAAGAACCUGAAACCGUGUACGUACAAGCAGUGGGAGCCUCUUAAUGGGGUGACUGCGUACCUUUUGUAUAAUGGGUCAGCGACUUAUAUUCUGUAGCAAGGUUAACCGAAUAGGGGAGCCGAAGGGAAACCGAGUCUUAACUGGGCGUUAAGUUGCAGGGUAUAGACCCGAAACCCGGUGAUCUAGCCAUGGGCAGGUUGAAGGUUGGGUAACACUAACUGGAGGACCGAACCGACUAAUGUUGAAAAAUUAGCGGAUGACUUGUGGCUGGGGGUGAAAGGCCAAUCAAACCGGGAGAUAGCUGGUUCUCCCCGAAAGCUAUUUAGGUAGCGCCUCGUGAAUUCAUCUCCGGGGGUAGAGCACUGUUUCGGCAAGGGGGUCAUCCCGACUUACCAACCCGAUGCAAACUGCGAAUACCGGAGAAUGUUAUCACGGGAGACACACGGCGGGUGCUAACGUCCGUCGUGAAGAGGGAAACAACCCAGACCGCCAGCUAAGGUCCCAAAGUCAUGGUUAAGUGGGAAACGAUGUGGGAAGGCCCAGACAGCCAGGAUGUUGGCUUAGAAGCAGCCAUCAUUUAAAGAAAGCGUAAUAGCUCACUGGUCGAGUCGGCCUGCGCGGAAGAUGUAACGGGGCUAAACCAUGCACCGAAGCUGCGGCAGCGACACUAUGUGUUGUUGGGUAGGGGAGCGUUCUGUAAGCCUGUGAAGGUGUACUGUGAGGUAUGCUGGAGGUAUCAGAAGUGCGAAUGCUGACAUAAGUAACGAUAAAGCGGGUGAAAAGCCCGCUCGCCGGAAGACCAAGGGUUCCUGUCCAACGUUAAUCGGGGCAGGGUGAGUCGACCCCUAAGGCGAGGCCGAAAGGCGUAGUCGAUGGGAAACAGGUUAAUAUUCCUGUACUUGGUGUUACUGCGAAGGGGGGACGGAGAAGGCUAUGUUGGCCGGGCGACGGUUGUCCCGGUUUAAGCGUGUAGGCUGGUUUUCCAGGCAAAUCCGGAAAAUCAAGGCUGAGGCGUGAUGACGAGGCACUACGGUGCUGAAGCAACAAAUGCCCUGCUUCCAGGAAAAGCCUCUAAGCAUCAGGUAACAUCAAAUCGUACCCCAAACCGACACAGGUGGUCAGGUAGAGAAUACCAAGGCGCUUGAGAGAACUCGGGUGAAGGAACUAGGCAAAAUGGUGCCGUAACUUCGGGAGAAGGCACGCUGAUAUGUAGGUGAAGUCCCUCGCGGAUGGAGCUGAAAUCAGUCGAAGAUACCAGCUGGCUGCAACUGUUUAUUAAAAACACAGCACUGUGCAAACACGAAAGUGGACGUAUACGGUGUGACGCCUGCCCGGUGCCGGAAGGUUAAUUGAUGGGGUUAGCGGUAACGCGAAGCUCUUGAUCGAAGCCCCGGUAAACGGCGGCCGUAACUAUAACGGUCCUAAGGUAGCGAAAUUCCUUGUCGGGUAAGUUCCGACCUGCACGAAUGGCGUAAUGAUGGCCAGGCUGUCUCCACCCGAGACUCAGUGAAAUUGAACUCGCUGUGAAGAUGCAGUGUACCCGCGGCAAGACGGAAAGACCCCGUGAACCUUUACUAUAGCUUGACACUGAACAUUGAGCCUUGAUGUGUAGGAUAGGUGGGAGGCUUUGAAGUGUGGACGCCAGUCUGCAUGGAGCCGGCCUUGAAAUACCACCCUUUAAUGUUUGAUGUUCUAACGUUGGCCCCUGAUCGGGGUUGCGGACAGUGUCUGGUGGGUAGUUUGACUGGGGCGGUCUCCUCCUAAAGAGUAACGGAGGAGCACGAAGGUUGGCUAAUCCUGGUCGGACAUCAGGAGGUUAGUGCAAUGGCAUAAGCCAGCUUGACUGCGAGCGUGACGGCGCGAGCAGGUGCGAAAGCAGGUCAUAGUGAUCCGGUGGUUCUGAAUGGAAGGGCCAUCGCUCAACGGAUAAAAGGUACUCCGGGGAUAACAGGCUGAUACCGCCCAAGAGUUCAUAUCGACGGCGGUGUUUGGCACCUCGAUGUCGGCUCAUCACAUCCUGGGGCUGAAGUAGGUCCCAAGGGUAUGGCUGUUCGCCAUUUAAAGUGGUACGCGAGCUGGGUUUAGAACGUCGUGAGACAGUUCGGUCCCUAUCUGCCGUGGGCGCUGGAGAACUGAGGGGGGCUGCUCCUAGUACGAGAGGACCGGAGUGGACGCAUCACUGGUGUUCGGGUUGUCAUGCCAAUGGCACUGCCCGGUAGCUAAAUGCGGAAGAGAUAAGUGCUGAAAGCAUCUAAGCACGAAACUUGCCCCGAGAUGAGUUCUCCCUGACUCCUUGAGAGUCCUGAAGGAACGUUGAAGACGACGACGUUGAUAGGCCGGGUGUGUAAGCGCAGCGAUGCGUUGAGCUAACCGGUACUAAUGAACCGUGAGGCUUAACCUUACAACGCCGAAGGUGUUU